UACGAAGGGGGCUAGCGUUGCUCGGAAUCACUGGGCGUAAAGGGUGCGUAGGCGGGUCUUUAAGUCAGGGGUGAAAUCCUGGAGCUCAACUCCAGAACUGCCUUUGAUACUGGCGAUCUUGAGUCCGGAAGAGGUGAGUGGAACUCCUAGUGUAGAGGUGGAAUUCGUAGAUAUUAGGAAGAACACCAGUGGCGAAGGCGGCUCACUGGUCCGGUACUGACGCUGAGGUGCGAAAGCGUGGGGAGCAAACAGGG
rnacentral:rRNA from 1 species